AGUCAACAGCUUUUGGAUAAGGUUUUGUAGGAUUUUAACUUGGGCCGAGGGCUUGAGGCAAUCCUCAGGAAUGUUAAAGGGUAAUGGCAGAAAGUCAGAGAACUUUGGUAAUCAGAAAGCUAUUUAGAUUCUCUAGCCUAAAAGAGAAAAACCUCAAAGAGAUAAGUAUGUGUAAAUCAACCCAUGUAGAUCAAGAUAGAGCCUUCUUGAGAUCCAAAUAAUGAUGGAGGCUUCAUUAAUGAAUCACCCUGAGCUCUGCUAGAUACACAGCACUUUGUUUUUUCUCAUAAGGCGUGAUAAUUUAGGUUCAUGGUAGGGACUGUGGAUUGGUGUUUCUAAAACAUUGCAUCAGUCCUUAUCUUUUAACUUCCAUUCCACUUGUUUUAUAUUACUGUCCUAAUGCCUACAUGCAUAAGAGUAAGAGAAAAAUGUUAUUCUCUGCAGGCUUUUUUCAUGUGGAACAAGU
rnacentral:misc_RNA from 1 species